CCUACGGGUGGCAGCAGUGGGGAAUAUUGCGCAAUGGGCGAAAGCCUGACGCAGCGACGCCGCGUGAGGGAUGAAGGUCUUCGGAUCGUAAACCUCUGUCAGCAGGGAAGAACGGUCACUGUGCUAAUCAGCAGUGAAUUGACGGUACCUGCAAAGGAAGCACCGGCUAACUCCGUGCCAGCAGCCGCGGUAAUACGGAGGGUGCGAGCGUUAAUCGGAAUUACUGGGCGUAAAGCGCUCGUAGGCGGUAUGUCAAGUCAAGGGUGAAAUCCCCGCGCUCAACGUGGGAACUGCAGUUGAAACUGGCAAACUGGAGUGUGUGAGAGGAUAGCGGAAUUCCAGGUGUAGGAGUGAAAUGCGUAGAUAUCACGAGGAACAUCAGUGGCGAAGGCGACUAUCUGGCACAUAACUGACGCUGAGGAGCGAAAGCGUGGGUAGCAAACAGGAUUAGAUACCCCAGUAGUC
rnacentral:rRNA from 1 species